AAUCUAGAACAAAAUAUCAGCCAAUGUUUUGAACAAGUCAAUAAAAUGGAUCAACAUAUAGAAUACAAAAUAAAGACUAUAGAAAAAGCUCAGAAUGUUGCUGCUUACAACGCAUUACUGGAAGAAGUCCACAAUAUAUCAGAGAAAGUAAAGGAAACAGACAGCGAUGUUGAUAAAAGAAUACUCAGUUUACAGUCGAACCAAAGUAACA